rnacentral:lncRNA from 1 species
CCGGCCCAAAAGUGUAUGAAUUUGGCUACGGCCUUAGCUACUCCAAUUACACUCAUGAAUUUGUUCAUGUCACCCCAGAUAAGAUCUACAUAAACAAGUUAUUACGCCCUGCUAAGGCCAUCAAAAGAUCAGCCACUGAUCGUUAUGCAUUAGUUUCUGAACUGGGAAAAGAAUUAUGUGAAAGCAAAAAGUUCUCAACUAAAAUAGCAGUUGAAAAUCGUGGAAAUUUACCUGGCAAGCAUCCAGUACUAUUAUUUGUCAAACAGGCCAAUCUCACAAUUGGGAGCCCUCAGAAGCAGCUGAUAGCAUUCCGAAGUGUGAGAUUAGAGGCAGGAGAAAGAGCUCACAUUGACUUUGUUCUGAACCCUUGUCAGCACCUAAGCAGAGCUAACAAAGAUGGUUUAUUGGUGAUUGAAGAAGGAUAUUACCACCUGAUUCUGGAAGAUAAGGAGUACCCCAUUAAUGUGGUAUUGUGAC